rnacentral:tRNA from 1 species
GGGCCCGUGGCGGAAUUGGUAUACGCAAGGGACUUAAAAUCCCUGGUCGCAAGGCAUGUGGGUUCGACUCCCACCGGGCCCACCA